UGGGGAAUAUUGGACAAUGGGCGAAAGCCUGAUCCAGCCAUGCCGCGUGUGUGAAGAAGGUCUUCGGAUUGUAAGCACUUUAAGUUGGGAGGAAGGGCAUUAACCUAAUACGUUAGUGUUUUGACGUUACCGACAGAAUAAGCACCGGCUAACUCUGUGCCAGCAGCCGCGGUAAUACAGAGGGUGCAAGCGUUAAUCGGAAUUACUGGGCGUAAAGCGCGCGUAGGUGGUUUGUUAAGUUGGAUGUGAAAGCCCCGGGCUCAACCUGGGAACUGCAUCCAAAACUGGCAAGCUAGAGUACGGUAGAGGGUGGUGGAAUUUCCUGUGUAGCGGUGAAAUGCGUAGAUAUAGGAAGGAACACCAGUGGCGAAGGCGACCACCUGGACUGAUACUGACACUGAGGUGCGAAAGCGUGGGGAGCAAACA
rnacentral:rRNA from 1 species